rnacentral:rRNA from 1 species
UACGUAGGGUGCGAGCGUUGUCCGGAAUUAUUGGGCGUAAAGAGCUUGUAGGUGGUUUGUCGCGUCUGCUGUGAAAUCCGAGGCUCAACCUCGGACUUGCAGUGGGUACGGGCAGACUAGAGUGUGGUAGGGGAGACUGGAAUUCCUGGUGUAGCGGUGGAAUGCGCAGAUAUCAGGAAGAACACCCGUGGCGGAAGGCGGCUCUCUGGGGACGGUA